rnacentral:rRNA from 1 species
AUACGUAGGGUGCGAGCGUUGUCCGGAAUUACUGGGCGUAAAGAGCUCGUAGGUGGUUUGUCGCGUCGUCUGUGAAAUUCCGGGGCUUAACUCCGGGCGUGCAGGCGAUACGGGCAUAACUUGAGUACUGUAGGGGAGACUGGAAUUCCUGGUGUAGCGGGGAAAUGCGCAGAUAUCAGGAGGAACACCGGUGGCGAAGGCGGGUCUCUGGGCAGUAACUGACGCUGAGGAGCGAAAGCAUGGGUAGCGAACAGGAUUAGAUACCCUGGUAGUCCAUGCCGUAAACGGUGGGCGCUAGGUGUAGGGGUCUUCCACGACUUCUGUGCCGUAGCUAACGCAUUAAGCGCCCCGCCUGGGGAGUACGGCCGCAAGGCUAAAACUCAAAUGAACUGACGGG